rnacentral:misc_RNA from 1 species
GAUGAAGAACGUAGCGAAAUGCGAUAAGUAAUGUGAAUUGCAGAAUUCAGUGAAUCAUCGAGUCUUUGAACGCACAUUGCGCCCCCUGGUAUUCCGGGGGGCAUGCCUGUCCGAGCGUCAUUGCUGCCCUCAAGCACGGCUUGUGUGUUGGGCCCCGUCCCCUCCCCCGGGGACGGGCCCGAAAGGCAGCGGCGGCACCGCGUCCGAUCCUCGAGCGUAUGGGGCUUUGUCACCCGCUCUGUAGGCCCGGCCGGCGCCAGCCGACACCCAACUUUUAUUUCUAAGGUUGACCUCGGAUCAGGUAGGGAUACCCGCUGAACUUAAGCACAUCAAUAAGCGGAGGA